rnacentral:pre_miRNA from 1 species
GACAGCCGCCACAUCAACCAACAGGGAGGCCGGGGCCAUCAGAUCUAGCAACCCCGGCCUCCUCGCUAGUGGAUCCAACUGGUUUGA